rnacentral:rRNA from 1 species
UACAGAGGUCCCGAGCGUUGUUCGGAUUCACUGGGCGUAAAGGGUGCGUAGGCGGUCGGAUAAGUUUGAUGUGAAAUCUCCGGGCUUAACCCGGAAACUGCAUUGAAUACUAUUCGGCUUGAGGUCUGGAGGGGGGACUGGAAUUCUCGGUGUAGCAGUGAAAUGCGUAGAUAUCGAGAGGAACACCAGUGGCGAAGGCGAAGUCCCUGGACAGGUCCUGACGCUGAGGCACGAAAGCUAGGGGAGCAAACGGG